rnacentral:rRNA from 1 species
GACGAACGCUGGCGGCGUGCUUAACACAUGCAAGUCGAACGGAAAGGCGCUGCUUUUGUUGGGCGCUCGAGUGGCGAACGGGUGAGUAACACGUGAGUAACCUCCCCUUGACUGUGGGAUAAAUUCAGGAAACAGGGGCUAAUAUCGGAUAGGAGAUCCUGCUGCAUGGUGUGGGUUGGUAAAUUUCGGUGGUGGUGGAUGGACUCGCGGCUUAUCAGCUUGUUGGUGGGGUAGUGGCUUACCAAGGCUUUGACGGGUAGCCGGCCUGGGAGCGUGGCCGGCCUCAUUGCGCCUGAGAUACGGCCCAGACUCCUACGGUAGGCAGCAGUGGGGAAUAUUACACAAUGGGCGGGAGCGUGAUGCAGCGACGCCGCGUUCGUGAUGACGGCCUUCGAGUUGUAAACCGCUUUCGCAGGUGACGAAGCGUGAGUGACGGUAAUGGGUCAAGAAGCACCGGCUAACUACGUG